GACGAACGCUGGCGGCGUGCUUAACACAUGCAAGUCGAGCGGUAAGGCCCUUUCGGGGGUACGACGAGCGGCGAACGGGUGAGUAACACGUGGGUGACCUGCCCUCAGCUCUGGGAUAAGCCUGGGAAACCGGGUCUAAUACUGGAUAUGACUCCAUGGCGCAUGUUGUGGGGUGGAAAGCCUUGUGCGGCUGAGGAUGGGCCCGCGGCCUAUCAGCUUGUUGGUGGGGUGAGGCCUACCAAGGCGACGACGGGUAGCCGGCCUGAGAGGGCGACCGGCCACACUGGGACUGAGACACGGCCCAGACUCCUACGGGAGGCAGCAGUGGGGAAUCUUGCGCAAU
rnacentral:rRNA from 1 species